AGUCAUUAGUCUUUUAAUUGGAGGCUUGAAUGAAUGGUUGAACAAAAAAUAAUCUGUCUUAAUUUAAAUAUUUGAAUUUAAUUUUUAAGUAAAAAAGCUUAAAUUAAUUAAAGUGACGAUAAGACCCUAUAAAAUUUGAUAAUUUAAACUAUAAGAAUGUAUUAGUUGUUUAAAUUUCUUUUUUUUUAAUUUAUUUUAUUGGGGCGAUAUAAAUAAAAAUAAUAACUGUUUAAAUUUAAUAAUAAUGAUUAUUAAUUAAUUUAAAUGAUCCUUUAAUAGAGAUUAUAAGAUUAAGUUACUUU
rnacentral:rRNA from 1 species